CGGGGGCCUGCCGACCAAACGACGUUCACCAUUCACGUCAAACAUUUCACCUAACCUAGUGUCCACAAACCACCCCGGCAAUCGCAUCUUUCGACGCUUUCAUCUGUAUCAGGCGUUCAAAUUACACGGUAUGUCACAUUAAAAAAAAGAAGCAUGAAUUUCUUGCACAACAAGCAGAAGCUAGUUGAAAAACGUGACUCCGAAAAAUGUUUCUUCAUGGAAACAAAAUUUCUUCUACCCCGUAGAAUUGGAGCUAAUUCUGCACGUUGCUUCUA